rnacentral:rRNA from 1 species
UACGAAGGGGGCUAGCGUUGCUCGGAAUCACUGGGCGUAAAGGGUGCGUAGGCGGUCCUAUAAGUAUGGUGUGAAAUCUCCCGGCUUAACUGGGAGGGUGCGCUAUAGACUGUGGGACUAGAGUGUGGGGAGAGGAAAGUGGAAUUCCUGGUGUAGCGGUGAAAUGCGUAGAUAUCAGGAGGAACACCGGUGGCGAAGGCGGGUCCUCUGGGCCGUAACUGACGCUGGAGGAGCGAAAGCGUGGGGAGCGAACAGG